UGCAGAUGAUGAUCCAUAUAUUUGCUAUCUGAAUAGCAGUGAUUACAGCCUUACCACCAAGAUCGCUGAUGCA
rnacentral:snoRNA from 1 species